AUGAGAACAGUCAACAUUGUCUUAAUCGAACAUAUAGAUUCAGGCAAGUCCACCACAACCAGCCACCUAAUCUACAGUUGUGGUGGAAUCGACAAAUGGACCAUCAAAAAGUUUGAAAAGGAAGCCUCCAAGGCGGGAAAAGGUCCUCAAGUAUGCCUGGGUCUUGGGCAAACUGAAAGCUGAGCAUGAGUGUGGUAUCACUAUUGACAUCUCCCUGUGGAAACUUGAGACCAGCAAAUACUAUGUGACUAUCAUUGAUGCCCUAGGACACGGAGACUUCAUCAAAAAACAUGAUUACAGGCACAUCCCAGGCCGACUGUGCUGUCCUGAGUGUUGCUGCUGGUGCUGGUGAAUUUGAAGCUGGUUGUCUCCAAGAACGAGCAAAGCUGUGAGAGUGCUCUUCUGGCUUACACCCGCAGUGUGAAGCAGCUAAUUGUUAGUGCGAACAAAAUGGAUUCCACCGAGCCACCCUAAAGUCAGAAGAGCUACGAGGAAAUCAUUAAGGAAGUCAGCAAGACUAAGAAACAUGGCUAUAGUAGCAUUUGUGCUGAUUUCUUGUUGGACAACAUGCUGAAGCUAAGUGCUAAUACACCUUCGUUCAAGGGAUGGAAAGUCACCUGGAAAGAUGGCAGUGUCAGUGGCACCACAACACUGGAAGCUUUGGAUCGCAUCCCACCACCAACUCUUCCAACUGACAAGCCUCCGCAACUGCCCCUCCAGGAUGUCUAUAAAAUUGGGGGUAUUGGUUCAGUCCCUGUGGGCCAAGUGGAGACUGGUGUUCUUAAACCUGGCAUGGUGGUUACCUUUGUUCCAGUCAAGUCAAGCCUGUUGAAAUUCACUUUGAGAGCAGCUUUUUCUGGGUACGGCUUUUACUGGGCUUCAAUGUAAAGAAUGUGUCCAUCAAAGACAUUAGACGUGGCAAUGUUGCAAAAAAUGACCCACCAAUGGAAACAUCUGGCUUCACUGCUCAAGUGAUUGUCCUGAACCAUUCAGGCUAAGUUAGUGUUGCUUAUGCUCCUGUACUGGAUUGUCAAAUAUCCCACACAGCAUGCAAGUUUGCUGAGCUUAAAGGAAUGAUUGAUCCUCAUUCUGGUAAGAAGGUGGAAGAUGGCCCCAAAUUCUUGAAGUCUCGUGAUGCAGCCAUUGUUGACAUGGUCCCUGGCAAACCCAUGUGUGUUGAGAGCUUCUCUGACUAUCCUCCCCUUGGUCGUUUUGUUGUUCAUGACAUGAGGCAGACAGUUGCUGUGGGUGUCAUCAAAGUUGUGGACAAGAAGGCGGCUGGAGCUGGCAAAGUCACCAAGUCUGUCCAGAAAGCUCAGAAGGCUAAAUGAAUAUUAUCCCUAACACCUGCCACUCCAGUCCUAAUCAGUGGUGGAAGAACGGUCUCAGAGUUGCUUGUCUCAAUUGGCCAUUUAAGUUUAAUAGUAAAAGACUGGUUAAUGAUAACAAUGCAUCGUAAAACCUUCAGAAGGAAAAGAGAAUGUUUUGUGGACCCCCUUUUUUGUGUGUGGCAGUUUUAAGUUAAUAGUUUUCAAAAUCAGUACUUUUUAAUGGAAACAACCAAAAACCUGUCACAGAAUUUUGAGACCCAUUAAAACUAGUUUAAUGA